GUCCACGCUGUAAACGAUGGAUGCUAGGUGUCGCGGGGUUCCCGUCGCGGUGCCGUAGCUAACGUCUUAAGCAUCCCGCCUGGGGAGGUACGGUCGCAAGAUUAAACUACAAGGAAUUGACGGGGCCCGCACAAGCGGUGGAGCAUGUGGUUUAAUUCGAAGCAACGCGAAGAACCUUACCCAGGCUUGACAUCCGCCGAAUCCCCCUGAAAGGGGGAGUGCUCUUCGGAGAGCGGCGAGACAGGUGCUGCAUGGCUGUCGU
rnacentral:rRNA from 1 species